GGCAUAUUACAUGCACAUCCGGCCAAGAGCGAUCAGGAGUGACCUGAACUGUGACAGAUUUUUUCCUUUCGUCAGCUGGCACGGCUUUGCUCACAGUUUCAAACGACCUUGGUGUGCUCCACAAAGCUUAUGAAAAAAGCUGGAGAGAGUGCACACUGGAAAGCUUUUUAAGAGCCACCACUCGUCAGGCAAGAAGUGCGGCAGAGUCAGCAGCAGCUAACCCGAAGGACACGGAGAAGGAGGCCGUGUCCUUUCACCUGGCCUAUGACACUGCCGUGGCCAGACUGCGCAGAGUACCGACGCCACAGGCUGUAGCCGCCACGGCUACAUUGCUGGACUCCUUGGCAGGACUUUUUAAAGAUGUUUCCGGCGUCGGCAGACAGCAAACCACCCACCAAACAGGACAGGUUAAAGGCAGGGUUUCCGGGGGAUCGUGUCUUCUACGACAAGUGGCGUGCCUCCCAAAAGGCCAAAAGAAUGGAACUGCUGCUGUGCAAUGUCCUUUAUCCGAAAACCACGAGAAAGCAGGGUGAAAUUCAGGAUUGUGAAGGAGGGGUGGAAGAACAACUGUCCGAAGCCAGCGGACGUUUUGGCGGCAUGGAAACCAG
ensembl:lncRNA